rfam:Chlorocebus sabaeus isolate 1994-021 chromosome 12, whole genome shotgun sequence.
GCCGGGCGCGGUGGCACAUGCCUGUAAUCCCAGCACUUUGGGAGGCCAAGACGGGCGGAUCACGAGGUCAGGAGAUCGAGACCAUCCUGGCUAACACAGUGAAACCUCGUCUCUACUAAAAANUUUUUAGUAGAGACGAGGUUUCACUGUGUUAGCCAGGAUGGUCUCGAUCUCCUGACCUCGUGAUCCGCCCGUCUU